ACGAACGCUGGCGGCAGGCCUAACACAUGCAAGUCGAGCGGACCCUUCGGGGUUAGCGGCGGACGGGUGAGUAACGCGUGGGAAUAUGCCCUUCUCUACGGAAUAGUCCUGGGAAACUGGGGGUAAUACCGUAUACGCCCUUUGGGGGAAAGAUUUAUCGGGGAAGGAUUAGCCCGCGUUGGAUUAGGUAGUUGGUGGGGUAAUGGCCUACCAAGCCGACGAUCCAUAGCUGGUUUGAGAGGAUGAUCAGCCACACUGGGACUGAGACACGGCCCAGACUCCUACGGGAGGCAGCAGUGGGGAAUCUUAGACAAUGGGGGCAACCCUGAUCUAGCCAUGCCGCGUGAGUGAUGAAGGCCUUAGGGUUGUAAAGCUCUUUCAGCUGGGAAGAUAAUGACGGUACCAGCAGAAGAAGCCCCGGCUAACUCCGU
rnacentral:rRNA from 1 species